UAAUACGAAGGGGGCUAGCGUUGCUCGGAAUUACUGGGCGUAAAGGGCGCGUAGGCGGAUCGUUAAGUCAGAGGUGAAAUCCCAGGGCUCAACCCUGGAACUGCCUUUGAUACUGGCGAUCUUGAGUAUGAGAGAGGUAUGUGGAACUCCGAGUGUAGAGGUGAAAUUCGUAGAUAUUCGGAAGAACACCAGUGGCGAAGGCGACAUACUGGCUCAUUACUGACGCUGAGGCGCGAAAGCGUGGGGAGCAAACAGGAUUAGAUACCCUGGUAGUCCACGCCGUAAACGAUGAUUGCUAGUUGUCGGGCUGCAUGCAGUUCGGUGACGCAGCUAACGCAUUAAGCAAUCCGCCUGGGGAGUACGGUCGCAAGAUUAAA
rnacentral:rRNA from 1 species